AUUGAACGCUGGCGGCAGGCCUAACACAUGCAAGUCGAGCGUGAAAGUCCUUCGGGAUGAGUAAAGCGGCGGACGGGUGAGUAACGCGUAGGAAUCUACCUAAUAGUGGGGGAUAACGUUUCGAAAGGAACGCUAAUACCGCAUACGUUCUGAGGAAGAAAGCAGGGCUCGCAAGACCUUGCGCUAUUAGAUGAGCCUGCGUCCGAUUAGCUAGUUGGUGGGGUAAAGGCCUACCAAGGCGACGAUCGGUAACUGGUCUGAGAGGAUGAUCAGUCACACUGGAACUGAGACACGGUCCAGACUCCUACGGGAGGCAGCAGUGGGAAUAUUGGACAAUGGGGGCAACCCUGAUCCAGCCAUGCCGCGUGUGUGAAGAAAGGCCUUCGGUUGU
rnacentral:rRNA from 1 species